rnacentral:misc_RNA from 1 species
CAUGUGACUGGACGGAGCCGAGCCAUCAGACUUGUUAUCCUGGAAGAACUUUUCUCUCUCAGCAUGUUUUGCGGGUGGUGGAGGAAUUGCUACAGCAGCUGUUUUUUCAAUGUUGUUUUCUUGCUUCUGCUCUGUAACCACCGGUCUUAUAAGGGGACGAUGUAGCAUAUCCCCUGGAACUGCAGAUCCUAGCAAGCCAAAAGGACGUUCUACUUUGCUGCCUUCAUCUUCUGGCUGUAACCGAGCUUUUCCUUUUCUUAUCCUUCGGAAAAGUUGUUCAGGCUCCUCUUCUUCUGAUGAUUGGCCAUGAUCAUGCGGAUUUGAUGUAGAGGUUGGUCUAACAGUAAGAAGUGCAUCAUGUCUUUUGAGAACUCUAUCAAGUUGCUCGUUCAGCUCGGCAGCUUGGGAGACCAGCUUUUCGUCCCUGGAACUUAUAGCA